CCUACGGGGGGCAGCAGUGAGGAAUAUUGGUCAAUGGGCGCGAGCCUGAACCAGCCAAGUCGCGUGAGGGAAGACGGUCCUAUGGAUUGUAAACCUCUUUUGUCGGGGAGCAAAAGACGCCACGCGUGGCGUUCCGAGAGUACCCGAAGAAAAAGCAUCGGCUAACUACGUGCCAGCAGCCGCGGUAAUACGUAGGGGGUGAGCGUUAUCCGGAUUCACUGGGUGUAAAGGGAGCGUAGACGGCCAUGCAAGCCAGGGGUGAAAGCCCGGGGCCCAACCCCGGGACUGCCCUUGGAACUGUGCGGCUAGAGUGCGUGAUGGGCAGGCGGAAUUCCUGGUGUAGCGGUGAAAUGCGUAGAUAUCAGGAGGAACACCGGCGGCGAAGGCGGCCUGCUGGACCGCGACUGACGUUGAGGCUCGAAAGCGUGGGGAGCGAACAGGAUUAGAUACCCGAGUAGUC
rnacentral:rRNA from 1 species